GCUGGGUGUGGUGGCACACACCUGUAGUCCCAGCUACUCGGGAGGCUGAGGUCAGAGGAUCGCCUGAGCCCAGGAGUUUGAGGCUGCAGUGAGCUAUGAUCUUCACUGCACUGCAGCCUGGGCAACUAAGCGAAACCUGGCCUCAA
ensembl:misc_RNA Metazoa_SRP Metazoan signal recognition particle RNA